GCACGGCGUAGCUCAGCGGUAGAGCAGCCGCCUUGUAAGCGGAAGGUCGGGGGUUCGAAUCCCCCCGCCGGCUCCA
rnacentral:tRNA from 4 species